UUUAGAGGAGGAAAUCUUUAGGUUUUGUGCGGAUGGUGUAUACUCGGUUUGAUGAUGUCAUACUCCAUCACCGGGUAAACAUUCAUCCGCAUAAAGUCUGAACUUUCAACAAACUGGAUG
rnacentral:precursor_RNA from 10 species